AGGGGCGUGGGGCAAGGCUGUCCCCCGCGUCGGCCCCCCUUGGCUCCGCGCGCCCCUCUAGUUUGGGCCUGGGGCUGCCCCUAUGGGUCUGGCCCACGCCCUAGGAUGGUAGCGGAAGGCCGCCGGGGAGGGCGAGGGCGAGUGCGGAAGGGUCCGUGAGUAUCCCCCGGUACCGGCCGGUGUGGGCAAGCGUCCCCACCGAGGGAGAAUCGGGGCGGCCGGCUGACCAGUCGGGUUGUGUCCCCUUCCUAAGAAGACGUGGGGACGGCGACCAGAAGGCGGAGGAGGAGCCUCCUAGCUUCAGACGCGGAGGCGGGCGCCGUCACCUCCCGACCCGGUGGAGCGCGUGGACGCUUGUGGGAUCUUAGUUCCCUGAUCAAGGAUGGAACCCGAACCCCAGAGUGAAAGCAUCCUAACCACUGGACCGCCAGGGGAUUCCCACGUACCUGAUCUUUUUAUCUCCACCCUUGAAUUUGCAGAACUUGGGCACGAAUACAAACGGAGGCCAAUAAUAUGUGUCUAAACAUUUGAAAUUUAUAAAUCAAAGUAAUUUAAUGAUUUCAUUGUUAAAGUUUAAUUACAUCUUAUUUUAUACAAAUAAAACUAUUCACAAUCUAGUGUUCAAUA